UACGAGGGGGGCGAGCGUUGUUCGGAAUUAUUGGGCGUAAAGGGCGCGUAGGCGGCCUGGUAAGCGUGCGGUGAAAGCCCGGGGCUUAACCCCGGGUCGGCAGUGGAUACGGGCAGGCUAGAGGUAGGUAGGGGAGAAUGGAAUUCCCGGUGUAGCGGUGAAAUGCGCAGAUAUCGGGAGGAACACCGGUGGCGAAGGCGGUUCUCUGGGCCUUACCUGACGCUGAGGAGCGAAAGCGUGGGGAGCGAACAGG
rnacentral:rRNA from 1 species